rnacentral:lncRNA from 10 species
GCGGCGGCCAAAGCGGCGGCGACGGCGGCGCGAGAACGACCCGGCGGCCAGUUCUCUUCCUCCUGCGCACCUGCCCCGCUCGGUCAGUCAGUCGGCGGCCGGCGCCCGGCUUGUGCUCAGACCUCGCGCUUGCGGCGCCCAGGCCCAGCGGCCGUAGCUAGCGUCUGGCCUGAGAACCUCGGCGCUCCGGCGGCGCGGGCACCACGAGCCGAGCCUCGCAGCGGCUCCAGAGGAGGCAGGCGAGUGAGCGAGUCCGAGGGGUGGCCGGGGCAGGUGGUGGCGCCGCGAAGAUGGUCGCCAAGCAAAGGAUCCGUAUGGCCAACGAGAAGCACAGCAAGAACAUCACCCAGCGCGGCAACGUCGCCAAGACCUCGAGAAAUGCCCCCGAAGAGAAGGCGUCUGUAGGACCCUGGUUAUUGGCUCUCUUCAUUUUUGUUGUCUGUGGUUCUGAUGUUUCCAUUCUCCUGUGAAUUUUAACUUGAACUCAUUCCUGAUGUUUGAUACCCUGGUUGAAAACAAUUCAGUAAAGCAUCCUGCCUCAG